GACGGGGGAUGCACGCGUUAUCCGGAAUCACUGGGCGUAGAGCGUCUGUAGGUGGUGAUGCAAGUCACUGGUGCAAAACUCUGGCUCAACCGGAGGAAAGCCAGUGAAACUGCAUGACUAGAGUGUGGGAGAGGUAGAAGGAAUUCCCUGAGUAGCGGUGAAAUGCGUAGAUACAGGGAAGAACACCGGAGGCGAAAGCGUUCUACUGGAACACAUCUGACCCUGAGACACGAAAGCUAGGGGAGCGAAUGGG
rnacentral:rRNA from 1 species